UGGGACUGAAAACUGGACCUCAAGCAUCACUUGCCCUUUAGAACAAGUUAGUAGUCGUGUGGUUACGUAGUUUUUGGAUGGAAAUGAUAACAGCUGCUGCAGAAUGCGAAUGGAGACAGGAUGGAGAGCAUUAGGACAUUCAGCCAGAGUUAAGAGAUUUGCAUCGUUUUACAGAGGUGCCAGUAGUGGACGGUGGGUUCAGCCCUAAGGAUGGAAUUUGAAUUUAUCCUAAUUGAUGAUUGCUUUGUUGUGAAAUCCAAGUAGUAGCUGAUGAAGCAGGAAAGAAAGAUGCUCUUUCAAUCUCGUUUGAGGUUUGGCAGUGCAGCCUAUUUCGUGAGCUGAGAUAAGUAGUGAUGUAGAUAACAUAGAAACAUUACAAAUGCAAGAAAGAUAAGUUUUAACUUUUGCUUAAAUGCUUCCACGAGGUUUUCACUCUAACAAAUUGCGAUGAAACUGGGCUAAGAUUAAAUAGGCGAUGCGAGGAACAACACAUUUUUAGAAAACUACUCCUUUAGGACAUGGAGUUUUCGUUAGUCUUGAUAUAUGAUACUAAGAGGUCGGUGUCACCCACAAAAUAUCUUCGUUAGUCUUCAUCUGUGAAGCAAAUACUUGGUCCCACAAAAAAGGGAAAAAGUGUUUCGAAAACGGAUUGUCUACAUACGCUGAAUAGAAGUUUGACUUUGUACUGACUUUCAAUUGACUUUGAACUCUGAUGCAAAGUCUUGGUCCCCAAUAUAAGUGGUUAAAAUGUUCCGGGCACUGGACUGUCUUUACGCACUGAUCAGGUGUUUGACUUUAUACAAAUGAUGGGAGACUCAAUGCUGACCCUUUCAUGGGUUGGUGUCCCCCCACAAAGCCUCUUCCUUAGUCUGAUCUGUGAUGCAAAGACUUGGUCCCCCAAAAAAGGAUGAACUGUUUCGGACACUGGACUGUCUUUAUACGCUGAGCAGACGUCUGACUUUGUACAAGAGAUGGGAGACUAAAUGCUGACCCUUUCAUGGGUUGGUGUCCCCCACAAAGCCUCUUCCUUAGUCUAAUCUGUGAUGCAAAGACUUGGUCCCCCAAAAAUGGGAAAAACUAUUUCGGACACUGGACUGUCUUUAUACGCUGAGCGGACGUAUGACUUUGUACAAGAGAUGGGAGACUAAAUGCUGACCCCUUUACGGGUUGGUGUCCCCCCAAAAAUCUCUUCCUUAGACGGUCUCGAUCUGUGAUGUAAAGACUUGGUCCCCAAAAAAGAGGAUAAACUGUUUCGGACACUGGACUGUCUUUAUGCGCUGAUCAGAUGUUUGACUUUGUGUGAGGAGUGCAUAUUACCCAAAAAAUCUCAAAAAAAGAUUCAAUUAUAACCCAUUUAAGACAAGACUUCAUAUAUUAAAACUUGUAUGUAAACGGAAAAAAUUUAGGAGAGUUUUGUACUUUUUAUUUUAAAACAGGAUUCAAGGAAGAGAGGGAAUAUCGAUGUAUAUAAAACAUCUUGGAUUUCAUUGGAUUGUGAUCUUCUCUAUGAGGUGUCCAAGAUUUCACGAAAAAUGACAACCUCAGGAAAGAAACCAAGGACAAAGAUAAUCUUUUGGUACCACGAAGGUUCUAAGUUUAGAAAGGUCAUGAAGACGAACAGAAACUUGUUUGAGAUUACAUAAAGCAUGACUACUUCAAGAAUCCAAACAAAGUGUCAAAGUCGACCGCCAUCAUUUCUGACCACUUAGAGGAAAUGUUUAAGUAUUAAAUUUUGAAAAUUCUCUCUAUCUUAUGGUAACAUCAUCUUGUAAUACGCAUGUGUAUUAAGACAGACGUUUGGUUAAACAAAAACGCAUGCGUUUGAAAUUAAUUUUGUACCACAAGAUAGACAAUGUUUUAAAAUACUAAAGAAAUCUCUAGGAAAGUGGUGGGUGUGGUGGGGGCGGAUGGAUGGUGAAACGAUCUCAAAUUGUAAUGUUGCUGUUUCGUAACAGUAUGUUACAGUAUGUUAUGUUUCGUAACAGUAUUAAAAGAAAACUGAUUAAAGGGGGUAAGUUUCUAAAGAAACUGUGGUGCUGCGUCGGUGGGGGCAACAAGUUCAACAAGUUAAUUUGAAGGGCUAACGCUGGAAUCGUCAACUUUUAAACUCUUUACGGUGGCCAUUUACAAUGUCAACUUAGUUGAUAUAACCAAGUUACCUUGUAUAAAGAGAUCUUUGUCUCACAAGCUAGGUGACUUGUCAAGUGUUAUGUGUGGUGUGGGAUGGUGGACGGAUCAAACCCCAAUUUUUCAUUUUAUUCUCUGAAUUGGGGUUCGAACCAAUUUUGCUUUUUUUCCAAGAUUUAUAUUUAUCUCUGGUCUCAUUCUUAAGGUGAUCGUGUUCCUUGGUAUCCAGCUUUGGGUUGUAGAAGAAACCUGCAAAACAAGGAAAUUUGCAUAUGAUAAGUUGUGUUUAGCACGUUGCUUUCUGAAGUGGCUUUCUGGCUCCCCAAUUCUAAAUGCUGUAAAUCAAAUUUUUUGUAAUUAUUGAUAACAUGAAUACCAAUUUCGGUGAAUUUUAGUUUGCCCUUAAUGCUUGCAUUGCUUGUUGAGGAAUUAAAAACGAUAAAAGAAA